ensembl:lncRNA
UGUGUCUUCUCCAAGCUUCACAUGUAAAAUCCAACAGUGUGAAGCACAUAGCAGCCAGAAACUGUAAUGCCACAGAUCAGAGAGGCUUCAUCAUCACCAUCUUCAUCGCCGUACGAUCAGAGCGUGAGACUUCACAUCUGGAGCACAGGAGAGAUUCUGUGAUAAGUCCUCCUUCUAGCUUGUCCCACUAGCAGUCGAGCUGAGACACUCAGGACUGAACAGACUGCACAGCUUCUGUGACUGAGCCUACAAAACACCUUCUUUGAAACCACACAUGAUAGAAGGGCUUUACGUUUGCAGCAGCACUACUAAAGUCGGCAGGAAUGUUGCUGCAGGAAAACAUCCCUGCAGAUCACCAUCAUUUCACUGGACAUGAUGAGGAUCAUAUGGGACUUUAUAGUUUCACAGAAAUGUUGUGCUCUUUGAUUACAGGUUUUAAAUGGACAUAAUGACUGCCUCUCUCUGAUCAACAGG